rnacentral:rRNA from 1 species
CGGGUGAGUAACACGUAUCCAACCUGCCGUCUACUCUUGGACAGCCUUCUGAAAGGAAGAUUAAUACAAGAUGGCAUCAUGAGUCCGCAUGUUCACAUGAUUAAAGGUAUUCCGGUAGACGAUGGGGAUGCGUUCCAUUAGAUAGUAGGCGGGGUAACGGCCCACCUAGUCUUCGAUGGAUAGGGGUUCUGAGAGGAAGGUCCCCCACAUUGGAACUGAGACAUGGUCCAA